UACGGAGGAUCCAAGCGUUGUCCGGAUUCAUUGGGUUUAAAGGGUGCGUAGGCGGGAUAUUAAGUCAGUGGUGAAAGCCUGCAGCUCAACUGUAGAACUGCCAUUGAAACUGAUAUCCUUGAGUACGGUCGAGGUGGUUGGAAUAUAUCAUGUAGCGGUGAAAUGCAUAGAUAUGAUAUAGAACACCAAUUGCGAAGGCAGAUCACUAGACCGUUACUGACGCUCAGGCACGAAAGCAUGGGUAGCAAACAGG
rnacentral:misc_RNA from 1 species